UACGAAGGGGGCUAGCGUUGUUCGGAAUUACUGGGCGUAAAGCGCACGCAGGCGGGUCGUUAAGUCGAGGGUGAAAUCCUGGAGCUCAACUCCAGAACUGCCCCCGAUACUGGCGACCUCGAGUCCGGAAGAGGUGAGUGGAACUCCUAGUGUAGAGGUGGAAUUCGUAGAUAUUAGGAAGAACACCAGUGGCGAAGGCGGCUCACUGGUCCGGUACUGACGCUGAGGUGCGAAAGCGUGGGGAGCAAACAGG
rnacentral:rRNA from 1 species